GUGUGUAACUAACCAGUAAGACUGUGGGGGAUAAGCUCCAUUGUCAAGAGGGAAACAGCCCAGACCACCAGCUAAGGCCCCUAAAUGAUUACUAAGUGAUAAAGGAUGUGGGAAUGCUGAGACAAUCAGGAGGUUCGCCUAGAAGCAGCUAUCCUUUAAAGAGUGCGUAAUAGCUCACUGAUCAAGCGCACCUGCGCCGAAAAUGAACGGGGCUAAGUAAUCUGCCGAAGCUGUGGGAUCUUUUAGAUCGGUAGGGGAGCGUUCCACAAUAGAUUGAAGCAUUAGCGUAAGCGGAUGUGGACGAAGUGGAAGUGAGAAUGUCGGCUUGAGUAGCGAAAACAUUGGUGAGAAUCCAAUGCCCCGAAAACCUAAGGUUUCCUCCGGAAGGCUCGUCCGCGGAGGGUGAGUCAGGACCUAAGGCGAGGCCGAAAGGCGUAGCUAAUGGACAACGGGUUAAUAUUCCCGUACCAUCUAUUGCUGAUAUCGAGGGACGGAGAAGGCUAGACCAGCCGGAUGUUGGUUACCGGUUUAAGCGUUAAAGGUGUUGAAGAGCGGCGAAAACGCUCUGAGCUAAGGCGUGAAUACGAAAUACCAAGGUAUUGAAGUGGUUGAUGUCAUACUUCCAAGAAAAGCUCGGAAUAUCAUAAGUUAUAGAUGCCUGUACCCGAAACCGACACAGGUAGGUAGGUAGAGCAUACCAAGGGGCGCGAGAUAACUCUCUCUAAGGAACUCGGCAAAAUUACCUCGUAACUUCGGAAGAAGAGGUACCCUCGCGAGAGGGUUGCAAUAAAUAGACCCUGGCGACUGUUUACCAAAAACACAGGUCUCCGCUAAUUCGUAAGAAAAAGUAUGGGGGCUGACGCCUGCCCAGUGCCGGAAGGUUAAAGAAGUUGGUUAGUCUUCGGACGAAGCUAGCGACUGAAGCCCCGGUGAACGGCGGCCGUAACUAUAACGGUCCUAAGGUAGCGAAAUUCCUUGUCGGGUAAGUUCCGACCCGCACGAAAGGCGUAACGAUCAGGGUACUGUCUCGGAGAGAGGCUCGGCGAAAUAGACAUGUCUGUGAAGAUGCGGACUACCUGCACCUGGACAGAAAGACCCUAUGAAGCUUUACUGUAUCUUGGAAUUGGGUUUGGUCUUUACUUGCGCAGGAUAGGUGGGAGGCUUUGAAGAUGAUCUUGCGGGAUCGUUGGAGCCACUGGUGAGAUACCACUCUUGUGAUGAUAAAAUCCUAACUUUGGCCCGUUGUCCGGUCAGAGAACAGGUUCAGGUAGGCAGUUUGACUGGGGCGGUCGCCUACUAAAAGGUAACGGGGGCAUGCAAAGG
rnacentral:rRNA from 1 species